AGUAACGGCGAGUGAACGGAGAUGAGCCCAGCGCUGAAUCAUUUGGUCAUAGUGACCAUUUUGAGCUGUAGCGUAUAGGUGCAAUUAUCCCAUUGCUUUGUGCACUCAAAGUCCCCUUGAGCGGGGCCACAGUCCACAGAAGGUGCUAGACCUGUACGGGUGACGAAGCACUGGGUUGAUUGUUCCUCGGAGUCGGGUUGCCUGAGAUCGCAGCUCAAAGUGGGUGGUAAACCUCAUCUAAGGCUAAAUAUGGCCACGAGACCGAUAGCAAACAAGUACCGUGAGGGAAAGUUGAAAAGAACUCUGAGAAGAGAGUUAAAGGAGGACGUGAAACCGCUGGGAUGGAAACGAAUAGAGUUGACGAAACCUGCCGUCAUUCAACCGAUCAACUCCGCGGACUUUCGGCAUCGUACCGCGCAGCACCACCUUGUGUGUGUGUGUGCAUUGUUGGACGAUGACGGGAGCUUUCCUGUGUUGAGUAGUUCUAUUUUGCUGUGUGAUUGGUGCAUUUGAUGGUGGUACGCGCCGAGAGUCGCGUCAUUGUACGACCAAGCGUGUGUAGUGGCCCGUGCGGUCUUCUGCACGGAAACUUGCGCACGUGGAAGCGUAUCAUUGAUGCGAUUGUUGUGUGUGUCUAUCAACUUUCGCCACACAUUCGUGUGUGGUGCGUCGCUGUUCGCCACUCGGUUAGCGUGUCCACAAUGUGAUCGCUUGCGUAUCGCGUGCGGUUCACGCUGAUCAAGAAGAGAGAGUGGCCUGUUGAAGCGCGUUAAAGUUGCGUCUCGGUGUGAGCGUUGAUCACCUAUUCGACCCGUCUUGAAACACGGACCAAGGAGUCUAGCAUAUGCGCAAGUUAUUGGGUGGUAAACCUCAAAAAACGCAAUGAAAGUAAACGCCGUCUUGGUACGGCACAUAUAUUAUAUGUGAGCCGUGUGUUUGCGGCCAAUGUGCGCACGGUGCAGCAUAGCCCCGUCCCCGUUGCAUGCAAUAGGGCGGAGGUAGAGCGCAUAUGCUGGGACCCGAAAGAUGGUGAACUAUGCCUGAGCAGGAUGAAGCCAGAGGAAACUCUGGUGGAGGUCCGAAGCGAUUCUGACGUGCAAAUCGA
rnacentral:rRNA from 1 species